AUGAGGGACAUCAGACAAAACAUGGAGAAGGAGAUGCAAGAUCUGAGGGCUGAAAAGGCGAAUCUGGAUCAGGUGAAGCGAUUGCUGAAUGAAGUGUUUCAGUCUCUCAGGACUGAGUUUGAUUGCCACGAGUCUUACAGUGGACACACCGUGCUCGAGAUUCUCCAAAACACCAUCAAGAGUAUCACCGUGGAACUUCUCUCAGAACCGCAGGAGCUUAAAUCAGGCAUAGAUGAAGAUAAAGCAGAGGAAGAGUACUUGUCAACUGAAUAGUGUUUGCAAAUCAAAAAAUAUGGAGAAGGAAAGCAGUGAAAUAGUGGGAAAAGGUCAACAUUAAAAUGAAGCAUUUAUGCUAACAGAACAUCUGUAGAUCAGAACACCUCCAUAUUGCAGUCUGUUUGGCCAUAAUUUCACGUACUGAGAAAGGGCAAAUGGUACUGUCCGAUCACAGUUAAGAAGGCUAAUUAAUGUCCAAUCCGUGGACAGCUGAUACUUUCUCAGUGUUUCAAGGCAAGCAGUUCUUCAGUCAUUGAACUGGAAGAACCCUGAUCUAUAACAACAGUGUCCUGACUAUGAUACAAUUGGAUAUAACUACAAGGUUUUAAGUCAGGUUAACUAGAUACACGCAAAUGUAAUCUUGAGUUUGUUUCAUCAUGAGAACAUUAUUUAAUAUAGUAUUUAGGUUUUAUUUAUAAGAUUGCAAAAUACUUAUCUGAUCAACUUGACAUUUCAGGAAUUCUGGACUAAUAUUGAUUUAUUGAACAGGGAAAAUAAGAAUGACACUAGGCAAAAUGUAAGAAGUAAAUAGAAAAUCUAACAUAAUUGCAAACUAACACUUAUGAUAUUUUGUAUGUAAACAAAUGCAUCUUAAUCGCAGUAUGCGGUUUCAAAAAAUAACCUCUAAAUUGUGAAAAAACUAGAACAUAUUGUCUAGGAGUUUUAUUUUGCAGAGGUCUGACACAGGUGUGAUAACACUUCAAAAUGAAUAGGCAGCAUUUCAAUGAAUGUGGUUGGUUAGGUACAAUUAUAAAACCUAAAUAAAAUGAAAAUACAUUAUGAAUAUGUAGACAACAACAGAAAAUGCAUAAAGGCAGAACAUUUAUUGUAAAUGAAUGUAACACAGAUAUUUAAUCUCACUGAUAAUAUCACAGAUAAGGUGCCAUUUGUGUUUAUAAAAUGACCACAAACUGCAUCAGUUCUUAUGAAAUAAAAUAAGAGCAGGAAGACUAGUGUGUACAUAAAUUAAUAAUAACCUGCCACCAGAGGGUAGUUUAUACUACAGUAACUUCUACUAAACAUUCUGAUGAUUUCAUGUUUUUUUUUUCUUAAAUGGUAGAUGCACAGCAAAAAAAAGACAUAUUUGUCCAGUCUGAUCCAUACAGCAUAACUGCACCACACAAAGCACACAGGUUAACAUUUUGUAUCAUGCUGAGAUAGGAAAUCAAAUGAAUAUGUAAUUAAGUUCUUUUUUAAAUUCUGUACAUGUUCAGAGAGAAGCAGACUUCCACAUAAGAGCACUUGGACGAAGAGAGGUUCACAGAAGUACACAGAUUUAGGAAACAUUAUUGUGUGUGUGCAAUACUUAGAUAGUUGACGAUGUAAAAUGGACUAAUAGUGCAUUUGUUAGGAUGAGUGUCUGGAGUGUUUAAGUGCAGUGCCUUAAGAAAGGUUUUGCCUUCAACCUAUAUUUGUCUAUUCUGUUGUGUUGCCAAGUCAGUUCAAAACAUUUAAAUGUUUAAAUUUAAGUGUAAAGAGUCACAUUUAAACUAAAAUUAAAAUCUUAGAUUAAAAAUGAAAAUUAAAAAGUACUUUAACUUAACUGGUUGAAGUAUUCAAAUACUCUGGUACUGCAGGGUAUAGCCCCUUACACACCAAGAAAAGUAUAAAGACAGCUUUAACAAUAAAUGUAUUAGCAUCCAAACCAAUAGACAAUCUAUUUAUUAUAAGCGCAUACUGUAGUUAUGUCAGCUGCCACUUUAAAUGCUCAAUCUCUGCAGAUUUUGAUUGGCCUGUAAAUAUUUUUUACCGUUUAUCAGCCGGUAGAAUUUUGUUGUGAUGAUUCCAAUGAUAUAGUUCCUCUGUCUUGUCAUUAUAGCUGUGGUGUGAUGCCCCAAUUCUGAUAAAAUUUGAAUUAUGAUUAAAACUUAAAAAAUAUUACCGAUAUUGCCCUUGGUAUGAAAAUCCCUGAAUGGUGAUCAAUUUGGUCUUACUGUACUACAAUGUUGAUAGAAUAACAUGGAGGGCAGGGCAUGAAGAUUUACCUUUAAUAUAGCAAACCUACAGAUAUUUAAAAUUUAGUUGGGGGGUGGGGGUGAGUUCAAUUACAGAAGAGGCACAAGUGCUUAGAGUGGGUACAUCAAUGGUGAUACUAAAGCUCAACAGUCUUAUUAUUAUCUAUUCCUAUUAGGUUUCAGUUAAAUGAACCAUUAUCCAAUACUUUCUUGAUGUUAAUUUAUUGGAAUGUGACUAGCUUAUGAUGAACAAUAAAACCUUAUCCUAUUAGACAAAUGUCUUGCUGUGUAAGUGCCUCUUUGACUGGCUAGUUGUAAUUGGAGUGGAAGGAAAAAUCCAGUAACGAUUAUCAGGGACCGCUAAACUGACCGCACCACACUAGUCAAACACGCUCGGGCACGGUUCAAAAAGCCUAGUGUGAGUAUACACCCUUAAGUGCUUGAAGGUUCACAGACUACAAUUUCAUGCAGCAAAUGAUAGGAGGAACGAACAACAAUGACACAUGAGGUAUGAUCCUGACCA
ensembl:lncRNA